GAUGAACGCUAGCGGCAGGCUUAACACAUGCAAGUCGAGGGGUAUUGGUUUUCGGACCAAGAGACCGGCGCACGGGUGCGUAACGCGUAUGCAAUCUACCUUUUGCAGAGGGAUAGCCCCAGAGAAAUUUGGAUUAAUACCUCAUAGUAUAGUACUUUGGCAUCAAGGAACUAUUAAAGUCACAACGGCAAAAGAUGAGCAUGCGUCCAUUAGCUAGUUGGUAAGGUAACGGCUUACCAAGGCUACGAUGGGUAGGGGUUCUGAGAGGGAGAUCCCCCACACUGGUACUGAGACACGGACCAGACUCCUACGGGAGGCAGCAGUGAGGAAUAUUGGACAAUGGGCGCAAGCCUGAUCCAGCCAUGCCGCGUGCAGGAUGACGGUCCUAUGGAUUGUAAACUGCUUUUAUACAGGAAGAAACACUCCGACGUGUCGGAGCUUGACGGUACUGUAAGAAUAAGGAUUCGGGCU
rnacentral:rRNA from 1 species